CAGUAGCCACGGUAAAACGAAGGGGGCUAGCGUUGUUCGGAAUCACUGGGCGUAAAGGGUGCGUAGGCGGAUUCUUAAGUCAGGGGUGAAAUCCCGAGGCUCAACCUCGGAACUGCCUUUGAUACUGGGGAUCUUGAGUCCGGAAGAGGUGAGUGGAACUGCGAGUGUAGAGGUGAAAUUCGUAGAUAUUCGCAAGAACACCGGUGGCGAAGGCGGCUCACUGGUCCGGAACUGACGCUGAGGCACGACAGCGUGGGGAGCAAACAGGAUUAGAUACCCCUGUAGUCCCUGUCUCUUAUAC
rnacentral:rRNA from 1 species